UACGGAGGGAGCUAGCGUUAUUCGGAAUUACUGGGCGUAAAGCGCACGUAGGCGGCUUUGUAAGUUAGAGGUGAAAGCCUGGAGCUCAACUCCAGAACUGCCUUUAAGACUGCAUCGCUUGAAUCCAGGAGAGGUGAGUGGAAUUCCGAGUGUAGAGGUGAAAUUCGUAGAUAUUCGGAAGAACACCAGUGGCGAAGGCGGCUCACUGGACUGGUAUUGACGCUGAGGUGCGAAAAGCGUGGGGAGCAAACAGG
rnacentral:rRNA from 1 species